CAAACUGGGAUUAGAUACCCCACUAUGCCAAGCCGUAAAAAAUUUACUCACAUAUUCAACGCCAGGGUACUACAAGCCCUAGCUUAAAACCCAAAGGACUUGACGGUGUCCCACCCAACUAGAGGAGCCUGUUCUAUAACCGAUGAUCCACGUUACACCUAACCACCCUUUGCCUUUCAGCCUGUAUACCUCCGUCGUAAGCUUGCCAUGUGAACGCAUAACAGCAAGCCCAAUGGCCCACUUGCCAAUACGUCAGGUCAAGGUGCAGCUCAUGAGGUGGAAAGUGAUGGGCUACAAUUUCUAUCCUAGAACAAACGAAAUUCUAUAUGAAACAUAGAUCAUGAAGGAGGAUUUAGCAGUAAAUAAGGAAUAGAGAGCCUUAUUAAACCCGGCCCUGGGACGUGUACACACCGCCCGUCACCCUC
rnacentral:rRNA from 1 species